ensembl:lincRNA
GGAAUGUGAGCAUGAUGGCCAGGGCAAAGGAUGGAGACAGAAAGGAACAGCCUGGAGGUACAAGCCCAGAAGAAUUCAGCUGUGAGGCAAGGAGCAGGUUGUAUUUAGAAAAAAUAGUACUGAGCUGCAGGAGGGGAACUCGAAAGUAGGUGAUGCUGGGGGGGCCUCUUGGAGAGUGCCGGCCUCCAGGCUGGGCUGUGAGGACAAAGCGGAGGAGGCAGAACUGGUUUGGACAGGUGGGGCCUGAGAGUGUGGGCUGAGGGGCUGGUCCUCCACAGGGGAAGGGAAGCCACUUCUGAGAUGGGGAAGGAGCGCUGCAGAUGGGUGCAGGAGAAUGUUGGGGAGCCUGAGAAGGAGACUGAGGGGCCUGCUGUGGACGAGUGGAUGGCCGUGCCCACAGAUGCUGGCAGAAUCUCGAAGGUUGAUUGCAGAAAUGGCUCAAUUCUCAACCUCUCACAAUGUGGUCCUGCUGGUCCUCCAUCAAGAGACGACUAUCUCCUCACCCUAGGAGGAUGUCAAGGUAGAGAGAAACCAGAUGACUGGCUCAGGGAGGCAUGCAUGCGAGGAUGGACCAUGAGGAAAAUGGGAUCCAGGAUGUGUCAAUUCCAUCUUGCUGCUUUUUGGUCAUUGUCCCAGCUCUACAAGAUGGCUGAAAUCUUAACUUCUCAGCAGUUUCUUCCAGGCUUCUUAGCCUCUGGUUGCUAUUUACUAAUUGGUGAAUACCUCAGGAGAAGACAGAAUAUAGGUCUCACGAUUUCUCUUCUCCUUGAGUUCUUGAUCCUUGAAGUUAAGUAGUUCCCCAAUUCCUUCAAACAGAAUAUUUUAAAGGCAUUUAUCUGGCUUUUUCUUGUCUUCAGGGAGAAGUUUUGUAUGAUCUAAGCUAGCUGUCACCUUCAUUAUGACAUCUUUCCUGACACCCUGUAGAAACUGCAACAUAUCACCUCUCCUCCUCUAUUCUGAUACUUUCAUUUAUCUUUUCUGCAUUUAUUUCCUGUACAACAUUCAUCAGUAUUUAUACACCAUAUUUGUUUAUUAUUUAUGUGUAAUCUUCACAAAAUAAAGGCUCAAGAGAGAAAGAAUCUAUAUAUGUUUUUUUCUUCCAUUGUAUUCUUUCUAGGCCCUAGAACAAACAAUGCUUGCAAUGGAGAUUAAUUAAUCAACCAAAUUAAAAAUUUGGGAGAAGAUAUUCUCAAAUGAAAGUACAGACAAAGGGCUGAUAUUCAAGAUCUAUAAAGAACUCCUCAAAUUCAACACACACAAAACAGAUAACACGUCCAAAAAUGGGUGGAAGAUAUGAACAGACACUUCUCCAAAGAAGACAUACAAAUGGCUAACAGACUCAUGAGAAAACUCAUCACUAGCCACCAGGGAGAUUCAAAUCAAAACCACAUUGAGAUAUCACCUUACACCAGUUAGAAUGGCCAAAAUUAACAAGGCAGGAAACAACAUGUGCUGGAGAGGAUGUGGAGAAAGAGGAACCCUCUUACACUGUUGGUGGGAAUGCAAGCUGGUGCAGCCACUUUGGAAAACAGUGUGGAGAUUUCUUAAGAAAUUAAAUAUAGAGCUUCACUAUGACCCUGCAAUUGCACUAUUGGAUAUUUACCCUAAAGAUACAGAUGUAGUGAAAAGAAGGGCCAAUGUUCAUAGCAGCAACAGCCAGUCACCGAACUCUGGAAAGAACCAAGAUGCCCUUCAACAGAAGAUAUGGUCCAGAUAUACUCCGGAUUAUUAUGCCUCCAUCAGAAAGGAUGAAUACCCAACUUUUGUAUCAGUAUAGAUGGGACUGAAGGAGAUUAUGUGAGUGAAAUAAGUCAAGUGAGAAAGUCAAUUAUCAUAUGGUUUCAGUUUCUUAUGGAGCAUAAGGAAUAAAACUGAAGAAAUUGGGAGAAGGAUGGGAGAAGUGAGUUGGGGGAAAUUGGAGGGGAAGAUGAACCAUGAUAGACUGUGGACUCUGAGAAACUAACUGAGGCAUUUAGAGGGGAAGGGGUUGGGGGUUAGGGGAACCUGGUAGUGGGUAUUGUGGAGGGCAUGUAUUGCAUGGAGCAGUGGGUGUGGUGCAUGAACUCUGGAACACUGAAAAGAAAUUUUUAAAAAUUAAUAAAAAAUGAAAAAAAUUAGUUAAUGAGUGAAAAAAACAAAUGAAUGAAUGAAUGAAUAACAUUUUUGAGUGACUUGAGAUUAAAUUUGGAUUAGAUACUUCUUGGUGAUAGAGACAAAAGGUAAA